UGCAAUUACUAGUUCGUUCGAACACGCUUCGUUUAUUUAAACAAAAUUUUAGUUGGUGUUUGAUUAAAUAAAUUUCUGGAUCGAACUCCUUUAUCUGAACGUGAACUAGUAUUAUGUGAACGAGAAAUCGUAAAUAAUAAGGGGAAUCACUAAGUUCUUAUUAUAUAAAUUUUAGUUAUAUGAAGUAUUUAUGAUUGUCCCGUGACAGGUUCGAAUAAACUAAAUUCACUGUGUAUUCGAUUCAAACACGGAAGUUAGUCGAGUUAGAAACAAAAGUACUGUAAUUGCGACGAAGAACAGAAUAGACGUGACAUGAAAUACAUCUGCGUGUCCCACGAUCUAAAGCCGGAUCUCGACACGUGAAUACCGGUAAUCCAGAAAAUAGAGAACGUGUUAAUUUACCCAGGAGAAUUCGCUAAACACGUGGAAUUUCUCCGUCGACUGUAAUGUUUCACGCGCCAGUUGCCAAAGAGGAACGGAAAUAGGGAACAUAAUCAGCGAUUAGUAAUUACUUUAACGGCACUUUCUCGUCCGGUUGUCCUCUCUCGUUCCGCAAGAGACAACACGGGUUCCUCGUCCAGAAGCAGCUUCACGUUCCGUCAGACUGGAAAUCCGAGGCUGGUGGCGAACGAAGGAAAGAUACAAAAUCGACGAAGGAGAAAACGAGAUACGUGGAAACGAGGUGACGUAAAAUCAAACGUCGAGCCAAGCUACGGGGUUCGUAGCGUUCCGGCUCGUAAAGUAGCGGAAGAAACAGGGAAUUCGUUUGAUUUCUUCGCUGUUCGUGCGGCAAAAAGAGCGGGAGUGCGUUGCACGUGCGCCAUCGCAAGUGGAAAUUUAGAAAAAUUGUUACUAAUCGUUGCAAACAGCGCAACUUAUGAUAUUUAUGGGAAACUUAACCCGUUGGGCCGUGAAGGCUCAACUCGGUUUCCCAAUCUCUUCGACAGUAAGUUUCUUUAUUUAGAAAUUCUGUAGUUUUUUAAUUAUUCUUUCGUUCCAGUGGAAACUAACUUGUAUCAUAUUCUCAUGCGAAAACUAAUCUGAUUUUACGUGAUUCGACUUUGCCAGUUAUUUGUGAAUCUCUUUGACGUAAUAAUUUCUUUAUUUAGGGAUUCUUUAUGCAUUUUCUAUUUCUGUUAAGAUUAAAUGAUGUUACAAUUUAAGACGCAGAGACCAGAAGUAACUUGGUUGAAAUUUAUUUGUUUUUAUCGAUUAUGUGAUUACAUUGCUGGUUAAUAGAUCUCAAAAAAUGUGUUAUACAUAAUUGCAAAAAUAUUAAAUUAGUCAGAAGUUCCGUUGUUUUCGAUCUUUGAAUGGAAGGAAAUCAAUUGUUUUGCCUGGGAUUUCUAUUAAUUUAAUCUUCAAUAUAAUUACGACUAUAUUCCGGCUUAUCUGGAAAUUUAUUUAUUCCAUUGAUAUUGAAAAUUUUUCAUUUCCCUUAUUAAUUAAUUUCCUAAUUAAUUACAUUUUCUUAUUAAAUUUCAUUGUUGUUCCUUCAGAGCCCCUACAGCCUGAUUCUCAGUGCUGAAAACUUUUUCUUUCCCAAGAGUUUUAUAAAUAUUCAGCAAACAGCCACUCUACCUAAAAAUGUCUGUGAAAGUUGUUUUCGUUAGAAAUUCUUUCUUCUUGAUAUUCCUGUAAAAUAAGACGACUAAUUUUCUCAUAGUACUAUUUAUCGAGCUUUUCAACAAUUUUUAAUAUCACUUCUUAUAUCACCUAUAUCUCACACGUUUCAACUAUCUCUGAUUUCUCUGAUAUCUCUGAUUGAUGAGAGUUAUCAUUGUAGAAAAUUGUAUAUAAAGGAUUGUGUAUAAUUGUACAAAAUCUGGCGGCGGAACUUUCAGAAAAAUAUACAGUACAUCUAGUCGUUAUAAUAUUUAGCAAGUUAUAUAAAUCAUUAUUUUUAUAGAAUAAUAUGAAAUUGCAUAAACAUCCACGGCUUAAUUUAUCGUAUUUCGCAGCGGGAUUAUGUAACGAAGAACACGAACGAGUGAUUAAACUUCAAAAGAAAAGAAACCAAAAAAAUAAAGAGAAGAAGGAACUUGAACGUGAACUUCUGGCGAGGAUUUAUUUAUCGUUCGAACAGCGACGUUCGAUCUGAAAUAUAUGAAAUUUAAUAUGCCUAACCUGCGUGCAGGUAGCACCGAUAUUACGUGUUGCAAUAGAUCGGUAUCAUCUGUUAACAAGUUGAAUCACCGACGAGAAAAUAAAUCUCGAGGUCUCGAUUUAUUCUUGUUCUUUUUUUCAUUGUAAAGGAUUUGUUUCUGGUUAUCGACGAAGGUAUGUAAUUGAUAAAUUGGCUUUUCAAUCGAGUCGCUCGAUGCAUCGUUGCGCUCACGAAUGAAGCUCGUUUCUUUGUCGCUUCGAUACACUUUAUUCAACUAGAAAAUGAUAGUAUCGGCGAUUAAACUCGGAAUAACACCGGAUGUUUUCAAGAUAACGCGCCUCGAACAUGUGGAACAACUAAUGGCUUGAAAACAAGUCGUUCGACAAUAGGGUUUUUUAAAGCUGAUAUCGAUGUUCGAUUGCAUUCAAUGACGUUUUAAAUACCAAACAUUAUUUCGUGCUAAUUCAUUGGAUUGAAAAUAAAAUGAUUUAAAUUUUCUUUUAUCAUAUCGUACACAAAGGAAUUCUGUUUUGAAUUUUAUGAAAUCUUUUAUCAAUUUACGAUAUGCUCUUGUUUAAAAUUAUAUUUUAUUAUAAUAAAACAUUAGUGAUUAUGUUUCAAUGAAAUAUAAAUGACAAGUAACACAGUUAUAUAAAUAUCGAAAUUAAAGCAAAGAUAUUAAAUCUAGAUAUAAAUACGAUUUUACGUACCUUGCAAGGACUUUGACAUAAUUUAAGUAAAUGAAGUCUGCUAUUAUAUUUCUUUUUUCUCUCCAUUUUAAUUUAAUGCUUAUUCGUAAUCGAAAUAAGUUUAUCCCGUUCUUUAUGUAACAAGUAUGUUACUCCAUCGCUCGAAGAACGACUACCCGCAAAGUACUCAAAAUUAUUGUAAUUUCUUGAUCACCUUACAAUCUCGGAGCAUCGUUCGACUACUUCAUUUAUAAGAAAACUAUAGAGUCCGGUGAUCCGCAAAAAUAACACGUAUCUAAAUUAUAGUAAUCUUUAGUCCAUUUUCAUUAAAAAAAAAAAAGAAAUAAAAUAAUCGUAACAAAGAGUAAACGAGUGAAAAACCUUCGAAAAAAGAAAUAUAAUUUUCAACACAAAUUGCUUUUAAAAAUUAUUAUAUCCUUGCCUCGGUAUCGCGUACAGCCACGAUACAUAUUCAUUAAAAUUGCAGUAUCGAUAAUUUCCAAGAAUGAGGAUAGCUUAAAAUAUGUAUUUCUAAGGCAAAUUGCUUAUAAGAAUCAUUAUACUUUAACCGCAGUUCUUCUAUAUGCUCCUAAUAAACCUUCACUUCUCUAUCUAUCUUCUACAAUUGAAUUUUGCUCGCUCUUUUCUCCAAAAUCUGUCUACCAAAAUUUUUCAAAUACAGCAACUCUUACGCAUUAAUAUUCGGAUUCCGCAGUGUUUGAGAGAAUAUUGCUUUAUACGUUUGUUUCUAAUAGCGUUAUUGAAUUGAUCGUUUCUUCAAUAUAUUACAACACUUAUUGUAGUUACUAGAGACAUAAAGUUUAUUUAUUUAAUGCACGUAGUUUCUGUAGAAUAAGCGAUAAACUAGAUAAAGGCAGAAUUUAAAAUUGCAAAGAUAUCCGAACAAGCAAGAUACAUUGACGCUAUAUAAAAUAUACGCACGCAUGUACAAUUUAUAUAUUUGAGAUAUAUAAAAUUAACAUAGAGAUGCAACUUAUCCAUUAUCCGACUAUCUCUACGAUGCUGUUUACCAUGUACGUUAAAUCAAAUUUAUCUUUCAACUAACUAAAAUGAUACAAUUAAUUCAAUAAUAUACUGUAAUAAACAAAUAUAUUACAAACCAGUAAUCUCUCAAACAGCGUGAAAUCCUAACAUUGAUACAAAUCAUUGAUACAAAUGAUACCCCAACGAAAUAAAAAAAUUCUGAAGCCACAAUCCGGCAAUCUCAAAAUCACUCUAUCAAAGCCAAAGGUAUUCUAUUGGCUAUCUAAACGAAUCUACAACCCUUCCAAACAACGUGACGAAACAGCAAUCAAAUCGUCGUUGAAACAGGCAUAAAAAUCUGGAGAAAUAAACAAACGAUGUUGGAAGAAAAAAAGGAAAAAAUGUUAAUAUAAUCCAAUGAAAUCGGAUGCAUGACCUUUUCGGUGUGGGCUCCGUGGGAGAUAAGGACACGAAGAAUGCACUCGGCCGAUUUGUGUCUCGGGGCCGAUGGCGGAAGGGGAGCUGAGUCCUGGUAGGUGCGGCCCUGACUGUCGGCUCUCUCAGCGAGCGAGUGCAGGUGCGCGGCCGCCAGUCUGUCGCCAGGGCCCCCACCAGAUCUCCGUGGACCCUUCUUCGGUCCCACUGCUCUCCUUGCCCCUGCUGGAGGACCCAGAGAUCGCGGACCCUUCCGACUGCCCCCCCCCCUCCCCGUCGCUGCUCUCCAGCCGAGGGAAGAACGAACGGGGACCCUGCGGCACCUUCUCUCUCGCUUUUUUACAAGUCAGGCCCCGUUCGCCUCUCGUCUCUCUGUCUGUUGUUCGUCCGCGUUCGCAACAGGUAGUGCGUACACGAGGGCCGCCUGUGAAACGAAACCGCUCACGCCUACCGCGCGCCUCGCGGAUUUGCUUUUUUUAAUGAAAAUUCGGACUUGGCUAACCGCUAACGCGUUCUCUCCACCUCUGUAACCGGUAACCCUUGCAUCUCGCUAAAGACGGAAUGUCGAUGUGCCUGAUCGCUAAGAUGGUGUUUAGGUCGCGGAGUUGGCGCCUAGUAAUGGCUUCAGGUGGAUUCUCGAGCUUGAUGGAUUUAUGAGGGAAAGUUGGCUCGACCCCGCAUUUUUGGAGAACAAGAAUGAUAAGGUGCAGUUGAGAUGUUUCCUUUUUUUUUCUUUUUUUUUUUUUUUAGGAUGAUGCAAAUAUAAGGUGUAAUGGAUAGGAUAAGUUGUUGGGAUAUUAAUCGACGAAUAUUCAUGUUGAAUACAUUUGGAAGGAAACGCGUGACAUUUUGUGCACCGUGUUUCUUUCACUUUUCGUGCUAGGCUACUGGGAUUUCGUAAGCUGUUUGGGUAUAUUUAAUAAGGAUAUGAUGCAUGAUGUUUUAAGCAAUUUGGCGAGGGAAGUGUUACUGCUGGUAACGGCUGUUGUUUGUUAGAAUUGUUGGGCAAUUCUUGUUUCGAUGAAAUCAAAGCCUUCCAUGUCAUUGAUAUAUUAUGUAGCUCUUAUAUGUGAAAAUAUUCAGCGGUAAUAUUUGUCAAUGGAAUUAACGUUAAUCGUCGUGAGAUUCCAAUUGGCUUUUUGACAUCCUGCAAUUUAUAUUGUUUCAUAAAGGCACUUUAAAUAUGAAUCAAGUAUAUCAUCGAUUAUCGACAUUCUUUCGAUGUCUACGAUGAUAACUACAAUCCCAACUAAAUCCCAUACAGGAAGGUUAUGAUAGAUUCACUUUUAUUGAUUGUUGAUUUUUACAUUACUCGAUAGUUAGAGAGUAUCUAUUUAAAUUGAAGAAUCUUUUAAUACGCAACAAGUAAUAAAUCCAGACAGUCUUUUAAUAAACCAACAUAAUCCACUUUAUGACGAUUAAUAUUUUCGAAACCUUUAGAAAAAUUGAAAUAUCAUGUACGUAUAUGAUUUAAAAAUCAGUAAAAAGAAGUUACGGGAUUCAGAUUAAUUUGGGAUUAAUGUAGAAUUCAUUAACAACGAUCAUUACUAAUUAAUACAGGAUCAAAUGUUAUGGGAUUAAUUAUGAUGGAAUCAUUAUUAACACAAAAUGAAAAUUGAUUCGAAUUAACUUCAAAUUUAUUGUUCUGUAAAAUAAGAAAAAUACGACCUGUACGGUUUUUAAUUGCGUCUUAGCAAAUAACUUUCGCUAUUCAGCGCAUUUUUCCCAAUUCUUUCCAUCGAUAGACGCGAUAACGCAUAAUAUAUACGUUCAACCUUAGGAUAUCUCUACAUCAGAUAUUAGAGCGAACGAGUAACUUUGUAGGCAUGUCGUUAUCAACAGGUAGCGGGACUACAGUCUAUAGCAAAAUAAUAAGACUUCCAACAGGUGGUAGAGGCUUGGUUAAAACUGCGACUAAACCGAAUAGAUUAAUGGCGCGACGGUUCGCGCGCUGACGACGAUAAAUCGAGGAGGACUCGUAAAGGUAAAACGUUGGAAGAUGUUGGGUGGCCAUGUGGCAAGGUAAGAGCCAGGACACAUCUGAACUCGUCAUGACCUGUGCGUGAGCUGAAGAAAAGGAACUGAAAGAAAAUACUGGAUUCUCCUACGCUUGAAAGCGGACCGAGUUUCGGCCAUUUGAAAUUCCUCAGUGGCUUAAGCCGCUACCUUAUAUUACCUGGCGCUCGUUCGAAGCCAGAUUUCUGGAUAAGGAAAACAAAACACACCGCUGUUUUGAUGUUCACAGACACUGAUGCUACCAAGUAUUCGCGCGAAAUAUUCACAAGGCGAGAGAUGAUUCAUAUUGUUUAAAAAAACAUAAAGGCUAAUUUUAUUAUAUUUAAUUUUGACUGAAGCGAUAAAACGACUGCUCGAUAACAGUUUCAAGCAAUAUUUACGAUUAAUAUCUUCGCUUGUAAUUAUCGAACCAAACGUGUGGAUUAUAAUUCGAAGAAAUGUGAAUCACAAAUGGAAAGAUAUCAAAGGAUGUUAAGGAAAAGGAUUUAAGACUUUAAAAGUCUUUGGUACUCGUAAAAUAUUGACACGAAACAAUAAAUAUAUCAAUCAAUAAGGAAUACAGCACGUUUAUAAUUUAUCAUUUACAAUUUAUAAUGUAAAUAUUAUAUGCAAAUAGGAGUAAGACACAUUUCAAACGCUUCUAUAAACAGGAAAUAAAAUGUUAUUCAUGUCGUAAUUUCUCAUUAAUAUCGGUGAUGACUUUUUCAUUACAAUAUUUUCCUUCACAUUUCCUUAAUCAGUUUACAUAUUUCCCGAUCAAUUUUUUUAUUCGUAUUUAUAACACGUCUCGCGAUAGUGAGUGAACCAUUCGCAAAGUUACAUUUGACCUCGAAGGGAUUGAUGUUAGGUUCUUCAUCCGAACAAGAAUUUUUUACUCUUAUACACAGCAUCCUGUAUAUAAAUAUACACACUUAAACGUAUGAUUACUUAACACUAACCUAAAUAAUAUACCACAAAGAUCAUAAGAUAAAAUAAUAAAAGGUUCAGCGUUGUAAGUUUAUUAUUAAAUAUAAUUAAAAACCAUGAACCAACUGUUCAGCGUUUAAAAAGAUUUCAGUAUACACAUUAUCUAAGACGAUUAUCAUAACGGUACGCACAAUUUCUAAAUCGCUCCUAGCACUUUCAUACACAAAAGUUACGAACUUCCUCAAACAUCGGUCUAUCAAUCAGAAAGUAAAAAAGAAAUCUGCAAUACAUCCUCAAUAACCUGUAUUAAAUCCUAACCAUCCAAUCUUAACUAAACCCUACAUCCUCCUAAACAAAAUUCAAUCAGCUUUUUAAAAUUCAACACCUGUACGAGCUUGACCAUCAUUACGGUUCCCUCGAAUUUUCCCGAGAAACCGUAAAGCCCUGAUUAUUUCCAGUAACGUGUCUUCUUAUGAUGCCACAGUAUCCCGUUCCUCCCGUAUCGAAUCGAUAAUUUUUGCGUCGUUUUUUUCCCUCUCCACUUGAAGUCACUUGGAGCAGACCUCGCUUCCACACGUGAAACAGGGUGUCCUUCGAGAACGCAACAAGAGCGCCACGCGAUGAAAAUCACGGGCCGCGAGCUUGGUUCCCUUUUUUCCACCGGUUCUGGCACACGGGAAACCGGCAGGUGUCGGUCGUCAACAUUUUUUGCGCCGGUCCAGCUGUCAACGAUCAUUUUCUUUCCUCGGCGAAUUUUCCGGCUCCGGUAUACACCACUGGUGUACAAUACUAUACAACGGGGUGAAAAGCGAUUGUCUGAGAAGACGACAUGCGAAGAGGACAUGACUCAACGUCCACUUUUACAGCCGGUUGCUCAUUUCGGUCGGUGAAACGGGUCGUCCUUCGAGGAGGUCGGACUGGCCAGAGCAGAGAAGAAAAAAACGGCUCGUUGCCUUAUGCAGUGUCAGAAACAAUGGGGGUAUCUAUGGCGUGACGAAAAGAUAUCGGUUGAUCUUUGCCAAGCGUACAUAAUGACAUUGUCAUGCAAAAAUAAACGAGCUGAGGAAAGUCCGAUGAAAACAAAACGGACUAUCCGUCGUUUAUGGUAGUCCAUGGACCAUGAUGUUUACAAUGCGACACCAUCGAAUGUCUCAGCCGGGUGACAACAUUCGAGAAUUUUCGGUUACCUGGCCUGCUCAUUCAUCGAAUUGUGUUUCAAGUAAUUGUAAAGAACUUCCAGGGAGAGUUUACGACUUUUCCAUAAAUCAUUUAUUAGGAAUGUCAACGGGAAUUGUCUGAAAAACCAAAUUGUAGGUGUAUCCGACUUUAGGACGCGGGAUACACGUAAUUUAUACUAAGUCUUUACGAAGGAUAAAAAUGUGCAGUCGUUUGAGGAAAGUUAUGCGCACAUAGCGUUUAACGAAAUCGAAGGAUCGAGAUUUUCGAGUAAUUUGGAAGGGCUAUGAAAGGAAUGAAAAGGGCAGAGCCUGCAGAAAUGCCUGUUAUGACGAUAUUUCCCCAGGCAAUGUAAUUUACGUGGCGUAUUCAAGGUUUUAAUAUACGAGUGUCUCGCAGAUGUGCAAAACCAUUUGAGCAAACGAUUCUACCUAAUUGCCCGAUGUGUUAUUUAUGAUAUUGUCAUUAUUAUAUUGGUAUUGAUUUGAAGUUCAGAUGAACGAUGAGGCUUGUUAUCGCAAAAUGAGAUCCAAAUUGCGCGUUAUAAAUAUUUGUGAAUGCGGUAGACACAGCUCAGAUGCAGCUAUGUUAAUAAUAAUUUGAGAAACAAGCUCUGUCUGCCGAUAAAUUUAACAGCUUUGUAAUAAUUGGGACGAUAAAUAAAGCACAUUUGCGCAGAAUGUAUGCACUUCCAUUUGGAAGAUAUUUUUUCAAUCUUUAUGUUACAUCACAAAUGUAGUAAUAUUAUUAGUAUUUUUUAAGAAUGAACAAAUUUUAAGUACGAAAGCUUAAGAUGAAAGAAAACGAACUAGAGACCGAUGAAUAAUUUUAGCAUUAAAAAGACAAACAAUUAGCUAACAUUAUUAUAGGGAGGAAAUAAUUUAUCGAUUAUACCUAUGAAAAUUAAUAAGAAUCAUAUUACCUAUUUAUCUAAUGUAUUCAAAAUUUGUUGUCCCAUUCUUAGCAUUAAAAACAUCAGAGCUUCAUCUUGCUGAUACUAAUCUUAAACAGAUAUACUUCUAUUAAACCUUAGCGACGAAAAAUAAUUAAAAAAUAUUAUUACUUUAAAUAAGUCGGAUUAAAUAACACUCUUACCCUAUUUCGCACGAUAUAUAAUAAAUAAAAACCAUUAAGUGUUUACAAUAAAUAUUUUCCGUUUUAAUACCUACAUAAUAAUUGGCAAGCUGGUAAUUAGUAAACUCGAAACAUAUUAUACCCACUAAUUGGCAUCCUUCAAACAUCAACCUGUUUCUUCUAUCUACAAGUACCUUAAUCUGAGAGAAUCUUAGUCUCGUAAAGAAGAAAUAAUGAUACAUAAAUCAAUAAAUAAAAGAUCUGCUUAGAGAAAGAAUGUACGAAUAAACAUGUUUCUCCAUCCAUAAAUACAAUCUACUAUAAACCCAUCGGAGUAGAAUUUCGAAGCUAAAUGAAAUAAUUGCCCGCAAUUAUGCUAGCUCAUGUGAAAGGAUGGAUCGAUCCCGUUGCAAACGCAAACAAGAUCGAGCUCGAAGGUUUCCAACAGCUUUGGCUACUGUUUAAUUAAACGUUGCCGGUUGUACGGCGUUUUCAGCGAAUUCGUCUUUUUCAACUGGCCGCGCAGUGGCAAGCCCGUAUAAUCUUUAACGAGCGAUAAGUCUCGGCCGUGGAUGGCGUGUAAUCACCAAAACGGUCAUCGUUGUCGCUUGUGACGGGGUUUCACUGCACCGCUAGUUCCCGAUUCAGAGUGCUGGUGUACCUGUGCCGCGCACCUGUACAAGCCCAGCUUUAUCGCCGUAUAACCAGCCUGCCACCUGUGCGGCAGAGAUGGUCGCACAGGUGUCUUUUAAAGCAUUUCAUUAAUUACAAAUAGGAAAGCCGCGUGCAAUCCUCGUCGAGAGCCCCAGUGUGUCUCCGCUUGGGCAAACUGGCAAUUCGCAGGACACCUGGCCGAAACAUCACGGAUUUUCUGCUGACGACCUCGACGGUCCCCCGAAACCUGCUCGUUUCCUGGUAGACUUGAUCGAAAGGUUGCAAUAAAACAACUACUGGCAGAAAGGGGGAGCGCGCGUUUAACUGCUGACGAACCAGCAGAAUUACCUUGGUACGUUAUUACCAAAAAAAAAAAGAAAAAUAGAAAGGAAAGAAAAGGAGAAGGAGAUACAAAUUGGCAAAGCAUGAUUCGAAUCGAAUUAAGCGAAGAGAAUUCCUUCUGGAACGAAUUGGAAUUAUUUCGAGGAAGAGGAAUCUUGUUGUUGGUUUCUUUGUGAGAGUUUUGGCAGUCAGGUAACAAUUUACGCAAGGGCAUCUAUACAAAUAUAACGGUACACUCGAGAAUCUCCAGGUGCUGCGGCAGCCUAACACCUGGUCGAAUAUUCGAAUUUUCUCAGGGGCCCCUACCUCGCCGAAAGUCCAAGGUUUCCAGGACCCCACUGAGUGCAGAUGUAGAUCAAAAAUGUACCUUUAAAUCCGCGUAAGGACAACGAUGUUGCAAGAACAUCUGCAGCCAGAGCGUCUCGGACUUUGAACGUUUUGUCGAGUUAUAUAACAGAGCUGCAAACGCGUCUGACGACACUUUACCGCCACGUGUGUAGUAAAUUACGCGUGUGCACGUAAGUAUGUGACAUUAGGUUCGGUUUGGAGAACGCUAUAUAAACCUGAUCGUCUUAUUGAUCGGUGUCUGGACGAACGAAGCAUCGCUUGUCACGUGUCGUGCCAAUGCGUCUUUCUUUCACCGGAACGUAUUAACGCAGCUGUGCCUCGGAGUAGAGAAAGCUGAACGCGGCAACUCGCACGGAAAUCUCCCGAGAGCCUAUUCGAAAACAAUUUAGAUUACUUGCUUUCAUAUUGGCUGUUCCCUGCAUGUUUAAGAAAAGUAAUUCUAUCGUAACUUCGAAAUUUCAAUCGUAUAAUUACCGUGUACUUUUAAAUGGCAGAAAAUUAAUUAAGGUCAGACACUUUAUUUAUUAUAUCCGGUAAACUGUUAUUUUCGUUGCGCUAAAUAUUUUUAAUCCUUAAAAUCUCAUUUUUCAAUUCUUUUUACCUUUAAAAUUUUCCAAGCUCGUUCGAUCGUCUUCUAGUUACUUCGUCACAAGCUUUGAAGAGCCAUAAUCGUAAACUUCAUAUUUUCAUUUUCAUUAUCACUUGUUGUCACUUAUCACUGCUCAUAUUUAAAUGGCUUAAGAAAUUAAUUCACGUAACAAAACACUGAACACUUUUACAGCUGUUAUAACUUGCAACUGAGUUAUAAUUGCUCUUGAUUGAUAAUAUAAAAUGCGAGAUAUCUCGUCAGCGAUAUUUUACCGCCCCUAGCGGAAAGAUACGAAAGGCGAGAUAUUUCGUCAUCCGUCUGUAACGUGUUAAGGGUUUGACAAAAGAAUUUUUCAUUCUUUGAAUCGAUUUUGUACCUUGUAACUACGUAAUUAAUUACAUUUACCUUUUCCAUUAACUUGGUUUAUGUAUUUAUUAAUCCUGUUAAAAAUUUUGUUUGCUUUUGAAAACAAAGAAUUCCCUCCUUGAAUCGUAAAUUUGCCAGUAAAUAAUUAUCAUAAAUAGAAAAUAUAACACAGUAACGUAUUGGUAAAAUACAAUAAUACAAUAAUAAAUAAAUUAAAUCAAAUUAAAAAAGAAUAAACGUAAAGGUAUAUCAUUUUUAUUACACACGAUGUUAUAGGCGAUUAAUAUUAAAAACAUCAUACAACUUUCUGUCUUUCCUAAUUAACAAAUCACAAAUAUUGCAUAAAACUUUUUUGUAACGCAAUAAGGAACAAAAAAUAACUAGUCAGAGAUAAACGGGUUAAAUGAAUGUGACAUAAUUCCAUACUUAAUCUACAACAUUAAACGUGUGACCAAGAAUCGUGAGAAACGUGACAAAUACAUAGAUUAUAGUUUGUAUUAAUCAAUACCAACCAUUUUUCCACCGACAAGAAACUCUAGUACAAAUCGACACCUGCGAUCUCACUAAAAACAGAAUAUUACGUUUUUUGAAGCAGCACAAUUACUUGCAUUGUUAAUGUAUCGUGCACAUUUUGUUCACAUUUUUGCCUGAAGUCGAAAUUAAGUCUACUUAUCGAUUAAGUAACAUAUUUUUCUGCAUAGUUAUCGAGGAUAAAAAAGAAUGACAGACCACUUUGCAAAAAAUUGCGUAAAAACUCGUCGAGAACAUUCUUAUCAAAUUGAAUGGAAACCUCGAAUAACACACACUUAACAUUCAUGAGAAAGAACAGCUUUUAAAUUGCACUAUUUCAUAAGUUUCAAACGUUCAACGUGCCGUUUGUGUCUUAAAACGAACGUAGAAUCCUAAUGUACAGUUAACUCAACUUUGACCAAAAAUUCGAGAUUUCCAUUCGAUAAUUAUUGACCUCGUAAAAUUACGAUCGAAAAAUCCCGAUCUUGAUAUUCCAUACAAAGAGGAAGACACAGAUAAAGACCGCUUGGAGAUAGUUUCCAAGAACGUUUCGAGGCCUCUGCACACCUGAGGAGGACUUACGAACGGUGUCGCCUAAGGCGUGUUCUCCAAUCUUAGCAGAAAUUCGAGCUCUCCCUCGCGGUCGUUCAACAAUAAAACAACGGCGUGGGGUCCGUUCAAAUGUACAGGUCGCGAUGGAACAAGGCAGGAACGGAAAACAGGCUCCCACGAAUCCCACGACACUCGUUUUGAGCCGUGAAGGAAAGGCUGCGGGUGUCCUGGUGGCUCUUUCCACUCAGCCAAGUGACAGUUUCGAGUUGUUAUUGUGCGCGAUCAAACGUUACAAAGAAAAGAUCGACUCGAAUGGAUAAUACGCGAAAUAAUCAUAACCUUGAGAUAAAUGGCGGAUACUUAAAUUAUUUUGUACCCCAUAACGGUCGGGUGACUGGAAUUGCCAUCGCGUACAAUCAUUUGUUUCAGAGAAAUAGUCAACUCGAAUCAAAACACGCGAAAUAAUCAUAACUUUGGGUCUAAUGGCAGAGAUAUAAAUUAUUCUGUAGUCCAUAAGAGUUAGGUGCAAUAAAAGAGAUAUAAUAUAAGCCAUACCUUUUCUAGAGUGCAGUACAGUUUGUAACUGUUAACCAUAAUACUGGAAUUCGUAAUUGGUACAAUAUGGAUGCGGGCAGAUUUAUGACCACCUGGCCAUCACACGUGUGCAACAACGGUGACGACUGUGCGCAUUCGUCAAACUUCUACCGUUAUCAUACCGCUGGCAAUAUACAGACAUACGGAUUAACAUUAUCUGCCACCUGAUUAUUCAGUUAUUGGUGAUUUAUUUUUGCAAUAUAUGCAGACACAUGUCCGCAGGGAAUAUGUAUACGGAUUAAGAUAAAAUCGUUGCCGUGCUAGAACUUGCUCUGUAUCUUACAACGUCGAUCCGUUCUACAGCGAAUGAUUAAUAAGUCGAUCCAUUUUUCUUUUAUUGCAAUUCGAUAGAAAAAGCAAAUAAUCGUUCCAGUUGAAAUUCCUUUAGUUAAAUUGAUGUUCACUUAUAAAUAAUUGUUCGCACGGAUAAUUCCUAUUGAGAAUAUCUCAAAUUCAUAAAAGAAGGCAAUGAAAAAACCACUUGUAAUCUUUAAUAAUUUUAGCGUUGCUCCCGAUAAUUUAUAUGCUUUUAAGAUAAAAUAUCACUUUUCGUGGUCGGACUAUUUUAAAACAUCGCGAUGCGUCACGAAACUAGAACGUGACACGCUAUUAUUAAUUAUUCGUAGACUGCGGAUAUUUACCUACGUAUUUAUGAAAAAUUUACAGCCGAGAAAAUGUACAGAAUGCAUAUAUAGUACUCGAUAUAAUAUUAUAUAAGGUAAGACAAAUCCCCAUUUACAUUAUUCCAUUCCUUUAAUUGCACUGAUAAAAAAGCAAAUAAAGAUUGUAGCUGAUUUCCUGAUCUUUUAAGUAAAAAAAUAUGCAUAAACAUCUGCGAUCUAAUCAUUAGUCUUGCGUAAGCAACGCCACAUAGAUCCCAAUGACUAUCCUUCAUGCUGAUAGUGCAACAUUAUCAGGAGCAACCAGGCUUCCCGUGCAAUUUAUUAACCGGCAACGAAAAACAAAAAUAACAACUUCCCUGCCAUCUCCAUGAAACUCUCGCGACACAAAUUGAGACAAACAACUGGAGUGCGCGCUCGUGUGCGCGCUUCUAUGGCUUCUAGAUCGCACGCACACAUUCAGCCGGCCUGUCUCAUACACAGCACCGGCCGACUUAUGAAUGGUAUCUGCACACGUUCCCACGUCACUGAAUGAGUCUCAGGUCUCUCACGUCCGGCAGGAUUAUCGUGCCCGGUCGCGUUCUUCGCGUAAACCGUGCGAGUCUCCUUUCACGUUUUCUCCCUGUUCUCUCGUGUCUGCUUCUGCUCUAGUUCUGCUUCGUAGGAAGAAAAAAGAGAUUUCGACGGCGCUGUAGAACGACAGCUUCAGGGAAGAGAGCAGACAAGGAAGAAGAAAGAAAAAAGCGUGCGUUGCUCUCCUAACUCUCGCUAGGUGCAUGGCGCACGGUAGCAAUUCUAGUUGCAUAACAAGUCACAUUCCGCGAGUAAGACAAUGCCAGUUUGCUUCCCGGAAGUUGGUACACGUUCAGAGACCUGAGAAAAAAUACAUGUUUAUUGCCGGUUUUUCGAUACUGUAAUUAUACGGUCUGAUGUAAGGCGCCGCUUUUCAUUUGAGAUUGUGUUGAUUAGGCUAAGACUUGUUAGGAAACUCUAGCAGCUUGUUUUAUGAUUUUACAAUGAAAUGGAUACUGAAUAUACUAUUUUAUUAAGCUUUUUCCCCGUUAACUUAUUUUACUAAGUUGAGAAAAUACGUAUAUAUUCGUGAUGCGUGUAUUUGUAUUUAUUUCUAUCGAUUAGACUGAUCCUACUGGAAAGCUUCAGAGGUUUGUUUCAAGAUUUCAUAGAAUAAAUGUCGAUCGUGUAUAUUAUUUUGCAAAGCUGAGAAGAUAUGAAUAUGUUCGUAUUUUUAUCCUAUAAUUUGACGUAAGGUAUCAAAUUUGAAUUAAUAUUUAAGAUUAAUUGAGAUUAACUAUUAACAUUAAUAUUGAUAUUGAUAUUAACUGUAUGAGUAAUAUACUAUGUACAUAUAUUAAUACACAAGGCUGAGAAAAAACAUAUUUGUGGUUGGUCUCUCGAUCCCACAACUAACGUGAUGCAAGAUGCUAUUUUUCAUUUGCAUUAGUCGAUAUUGAUCAGGCUUAUCUUAAUAAGAAUCUUCAGAAGUUUGUUUGAAGAUUUCAUAGAAUGAAUACUGAUCGAACAUAUUGUUUUACAAAGAUGAGAAAGUACGUAUUCGCAGUGUUCGUAUCUUUAUUCUAUAAUUAAUUAAUUAAUUUAAUACAGCCGGCCAAAUUUAGUUGAAUUUACAUUUAAUAUUAGGGUAGACUUCAGACACUUGAGACGUUUGUUUUAUGAUACAGGAAUGCUAA